GCGCCGGCUUAAAGGAAAACUCUCCAACUUCCAGGCAGCCGGGAGAGUGGCUCCUGAGAGCACAUGCACCCCAACGCCCGGGGCGCGCACGCUCCCGCGCGCCCCGCGCUCUGGGCCCCAGGGGGUGUGGGGUCCCAGGGUGGGGCGACCGCAGGGGGGGCGGAAAUGGCCCGGUCUUCGCCGUCACCUUCUUGCGCGCCCCGCGGACUUGCCUGCAGACCCCCGGGUGCAAAGGAGGGGAAGAGAGUGCCCCGCACGGUUUAGACCUGCCUGCCCCCGUCCGGGAAGAUGGGCGUGAAGCCUGGAGCGCCCGCAGCCGUGGAAGUGAGCUGUCGCCCGGGGCGCCGCCGGCGGGCCUGGGGGACCCCAACUUGGGCCCGGCCUCGCUUGGCAACUUGCUUUGCGCAGUUCUCAGUGGAGCCCUGGACCCGCCCUGCGCCUGGCCGGUGGCCUUCUUUUUUUCUUUUUUCUUUUUUUUACCUUCUUUCUCUUUUUUAAAUGUAUGAACUUAUCAUGAAGCAGAAGGCAGAUAGUCGCUUCGGCAUACUUUGGCGAAUAGACACCCCUUUGGCGUGAAGGUCUGCUGCGCUGUGGUUCUAAAGGAGACAUCAGUGAAACAAGGGAUGUGCUACCAUGUUGUCCACUAAAAACAGAAGUCAAGUCAGACAGAGCCUUAAUAUCCUGUGUUCACCUCCCCUCCUCCCUUGCAGGUCAGGCACAUUUUCUCGGAUAUUCCUGCAGAAGUUCUGUCCUCACCCACCCUUCUCCACCUGCUGGUCCUGAUGUGGCUCCUCUGCCUGUGUCUUCCCAGCUGGACCUCGGUGCCCCACAUGCAAUCUAGGCUGGCCAAGAACUGUUGGAUGUCUCCUCAGAAUGUAUUUUAAAUGCUUUUAAGCUUUUGUUAAUGUGGUACAUCCCUUAGUCAACUUCAGCUGUCUUCAAUGAACCUGUCUCAUAUCUUUCAAACACAAACAUUUCGUAGGAAUCUAAGUAGACACCUCAAUUCCAUAACAUUAUGGAAUGGUCUCAAUCAGUGUCUCUCAAAUUGUGGGUGGCAAUAUUUGUGAGUCAUGAAAUCCAUUCUUAGUGAGUCCUAACCCUAUUUCUACAAAUGGAAUAGAAUGGGAGAGAAGGAAGGGAGAGGAUCAGGGGAGAGAACAGGGAGGGGAGAAGGGGGGCAGGAGAGAGCAUGUCAGAAGAGUCCAGCAGGGCAGGCAGGCAUUAUUCAGUGACUUAUGUGUGUGCAUAUUUGGUCCUAUUGGAAAAUGCAUUUCUUAUUGUGAAUUAGAAUGCAAUAAAAUCCCUUGUCUAGAUCAUCUUUUACAGAUAUGUUGGUGACAAUGGUUAGCCGGCAAUCCCAGAGUUGUUAUGGCCUCCUGGUGAAAAAGAAUAAAUAAUUCAAACGAAUUUGCUUAUUUAAGUAAAUUAAAGCACGUGUCUUUGGAUUAAGAUUGCCUCAGAGGGCUGUAACCGGCUGUUGCUGCCUGCAUGACAGGGCGGCAUGGACGUGGCUGUUCUGCCGGCAGCUGGCCCCUCUCUGAGCCAUUUCCGGGAUCUCUGGGAUGGUGCGUCUAGUGCUUCACUGUGAGCCUUGGUGCCCAGCAAGACUGAAGUAAACUGAGUGCAUGGUUAGGUUUUCAUUCCAUUCAUCCUUCCAGUGAUGAGCAGAGUGGGAGUGUGUGUUCAACAGAUGGAGAGACUGGGGCACACCUCAGCUGGGGUCCCCACCGGGGCAAGGGGUGGGGGGAGAGGAAACAGGAAGGCAGACCAGAAGGUCCACAUGGGGGGCAGAGAGCCUGGAUCCUGCCAGGAGGAAGAAGGCAUGUCCCUGCCUGUCUGUGGGGUGGCAGUCCCCCCAGGAAUGGGUCCUUGCUUCCUGGGGUUCCAGCCAGGGAGUGGGACAGAAUUUGCUCCACCUUCCAGACACUCUCUAAAAUCAUUUUUAUGGUCUUGGGGAAACUUCCGGGCCUAAUUCUCAAUAUUUCUGUCCUUGCAGAGACCUCCUUCUCUGUUUAUUUUUUUUAAGUGAGAUCCCCGUUAGGUUUCCUUUCUUGCAGAUUGGGGCCUUUCCUUCUCAGCCCUCCUGCCCCUGGCGGCUAGACUGCUGGCCCCUCAUUUAUGCCCUAUGGCUGCUUUGUCAGGCAUUGCUUGUUAUUUUAUACUUGAAAAUGUUUGAAGUCAGGUUGGAGUCAGUGCAGUGGGCACACAGGAUUCUUUACUUCUCUCUGUCAGAUGUGCCAUCUGACUAGCCUAGGUUUGACAGGUAAAGAAGUAAAAUACUGAUAUAAGUAAAUAAAAGUUUAGUGGCUGCCUACACGCUGACUUGCAAAAAUUAAUACCGAAUUACCUUUGGAAAUGUCUGUUUCAGCUGUGGUUUUCACUAUCCAGGUCUGGUCAUUUUAACUUCCCAAUUCUUAGAGGCAGUAAAUUACAGAAGGGCAUUGCCCAUCCUUUCCUCCCAUCUUCAGUGAAAUAUGUAUGUACAACUUGGUUCUUAAUUGGUGAGGCCCCAUUGCAACUCUGGUCUGUGUUUGGAUCAAAACAGAAAGAAAGAAAUUGAAAAUUUGACGAUCACAUGUUUAUUAUGUACAAAGCGGAGACUUGCAAUGGAGUUUUCUAUUUUUAUAGGAAGAUAGAAUAUGUUACAUGAGCCAUUAAGCAAGCUGCUUCAUGGAAGUCAUCCACAGGGUCACGGAGGUUUCCAGAAGGGAGUGACCCAUUUCUCCCAGGCUUGGUUGACUUGAAUCACAGAUGACCUCAAACUUCUGUCUUGAUGUGCUCAUUAGGCUGUGAGAGUGAUUCCUCACGUUUAAGCAUGUCAGAUUUAACAACCAGAGCCCGUUUCUCGACACCUUUUUUCUUUAUUUAAAAGAGGGUUAAGACCCACUGAAGAUUUUUUUCAUGGGGUCGAUUUAUGCUGUGAUGAUUUUUCUUCAAUAAAUUAUCUUUGUUGUAAUUUUAUCCAUUUCUUCUUGAAUAAAAAAUAAAAUGUAAUUGGUAAAUGUAAUAAAACAAAAUCCAAAAGAUGCAGAAGGCAUAUAGUGAAAAUAAGCCUUCUUUUGUGUCAUUUAGUGUCAUUUGUCUCAAAGUUUUCUUCAUGUAACUAGUGCCCCUCUACUCUAAAGUCUUUUUUUUUUUUUUAGGUAUAUGCAUCUUUUCUUAAAAUUGCCCUUAUAAAUGAAAUGAUUUCUUCCAUAAAUUUUCUUACUUUCUUUUCUAUGGUGAAUGUUAUGGAUAUUUUUUUUAAAACUGAUUUUUUAAAAUUUUGAAAUAGUCUCAGAUGUACAGUAAAGUUGAAAGGACAGUAGAAAGGCUUAUUUUCCCUUAAUAUUUUAGUGUGUGCUUUCGACAGACUGGAACAUUCUCUUACAUGAACACUGAUACAUCUACCAGCUGCUCCUCAGGUCCCAUUAGACUUUUGUCCAUUGUCCUAAUAACACCCUUAAGAGCCGAA